AUUGAACGCUGGCGGCAUGCCUAACACAUGCAAGUCGAACGAGUGGCGGACGGGUGAGUAAUAUCUGGGAAACUGCCUGAUAGAGGGUGAUAACUACUGGAAACGGUAGCUAAUCCCGCAUACCAUUGGAUGUGCCCAGAUGGGAUUAGCUAGUAGGUGGGGUAACGGCUCACCAAGGCGACGAUCCCUAGCGGGACUGAGAGGAUGACCAGCGACACUGGGACUGAGACACGGCCCAGACUCCUACGGGAGGCAGCAGUGGGGAAUCUUGCACAAUGGGCGCAAGCCUGAUGCAGCCAUGCCGCGUGUAUGAAGAGGGCCUUCGGGUUGUAAAGGACGUUAAGCUGAGAGGCGGUACCCGCAGAAGAAGCACCGGCUAACUCCGUGCCAGCAGCCGCGGUAAUUC
rnacentral:rRNA from 1 species